GAGGGGAAUUUUGGACAAUGGGCGCAAGCCUGAUCCAGCAAUGCCGCGUGCAGGAAGAAGGCCUUCGGGUUGUAAACUGCUUUUGUACGGAACGAAACGGUCCUGGUUAAUACCCGGGGCUAAUGACGGUACCGUAAGAAUAAGCACCGGCUAACUACGUGCCAGCAGCCGCGGUAAUACGUAGGGUGCAAGCGUUAAUCGGAAUUACUGGGCGUAAAGCGUGCGCAGGCGGUGCUGUAAGACAGGCGUGAAAUCCCCGGGCUUAACCUGGGAAUUGCGCUUGUGACUGCAGUGCUGGAGUGCGGCAGAGGGGGAUGGAAUUCCGCGUGUAGCAGUGAAAUGCGUAGAUAUGCGGAGGAACACCGAUGGCGAAGGCAAUCCCCUGGGCCUGCACUGACGCUCAUGCACGAAAGCGUGGGGAGCAAACAGGAUUAGAAACCCCUGUAGUCC
rnacentral:rRNA from 1 species